rnacentral:rRNA from 1 species
AAUGAACGCUGGCGGCAUGCCUAACACAUGCAAGUCGAACGAUGCUUUCGGGCAUAGUGGCGCACGGGUGCGUAACGCGUGGGAAUCCACCCCUGGGUUCGGAAUAACAGUUGGAAACGACUGCUAAUACCGGAUGAUGACGUAAGUCCAAAGAUUUAUCGCCCAGGGACGAGCCCGCGUAGGAUUAGCUAGUUGGUGGGGUAAAGGCCUACCAAGGCGACGAUCCUUAGCUGGUUUGAGAGGAUGAUCAGCCACACUGGGACUGAGACACGGGCCAGACUUCCACGGGGGGCAGGAGUUGGGAAUUUUUGGAAAUGGGCGAAAGCCUGAUCCAGCAAUGCCGCGUGAGUGAUGAAGGCCUUAGGGUUGUAAAGCUCUUUUACCCGGGAUGAUAGUGACAGUACCGGGAGAAUAAGCCCCGGCUAACUCCGUGCCAGCCGCCGCAGUAA